rnacentral:rRNA from 1 species
AUACGUAGGGGGCGAGCGUUGUCCGGAAUGAUUGGGCGUAAAGGGCGUGUAGGCGGCCUGUUAAGUCUGAAGUGAAAGUCCUGUUUUCAAGAUGGGAAUUGCUUUGGAUACUGGCGGGCUUGAGGGGAGGAGAGGUUUUUCGGAUUUCCGGGGGAGCGGGGGAAUGCGUAGAGAUCGGGAGGAACACCAGUGGCGAAGGCGGGUAACUGGACUGCAACUGACGCUGAGGCGCGAAAGUGUGGGGAGCAAACAGGAUUAGAUACCCUGGUAGUCCACACUGUAAACGAUGAAUGCUAGGUGUAGGGGGUAUCGACCCCUUCUGUGCCGCAGUCAACACAAUAAGCAUUCCGCCUGGGGAGAACGGCCGCAAGGUUGAAACUUAAAGGAAUCGACGGGG